rnacentral:rRNA from 1 species
UACGUAGGGGGCUAGCGUUGUCCGGAUUUAUUGGGCGUAAAGAGCGUGUAGGCGGCCAGGUAGGUCUGCUGUGAAAACUCGAGGCUCAACCUCGAGACGUCGGCGGAAACCAUCUGGCUAGAGUCCGGAAGAGGAGAGUGGAAUUCCUGGUGUAGCGGUGAAAUGCGUAGAUAUCGGAAGGAACAUCAGUGGCGAAAGCGGCUUCCUGGACCAGCACCGACGUCAGGCACGAAAGCGUGGGGAGCAAACGGG